GGGGGUGUAGCUCAGUGGUAGAGAGUUUGUUUAGCAAGCAAGAGGUCCUGGGUUCAAUUCCCAGUACCACAA
rfam:Heterocephalus glaber contig208278, whole genome shotgun sequence.